GCACUGCUGAGGAGUCCCAUAAUAGAACUAAACGACCGUUUAGUGC
rnacentral:hammerhead_ribozyme from 1 species